CCUACGGGAGGCAGCAGUAGGGAAUAUUGCUCAAUGGGGGAAACUCUGAAGCAGCAACGCCGCGUGGAGGAUGAAGGUUUUCGGAUCGUAAACCCCUUUUGUUAGAGAAGAUAAUGACGGUAUCUAACUAACAAGCACCGGCUAACUCCGUGCUAGCAGCUGCGGUAAUACGGAGGGGGCAAGCGUUACUCGGAAUCACUGGGCGUAAAGAGGGCGUAGGCGGGAUAGCAAGUCAGAUGUGAAAGCCUAUGGCUUAACCAUAGAACUGCAUUUGAAACUGUUGUUCUUGAGUAUGGGAGAGGUGAGUGGAAUUCUUGGUGUAGGGGUGGAAUCCGUAGAGAUCAGGAGGAAUACUCGUUGCGAAGGCGACCUGCUAGUACGUAACUGACGCUGAGGCGCGAAAGCAUGGGGAGCGAACAGGAUUAGAUACCCUUGUAGUC
rnacentral:rRNA from 1 species